rnacentral:lncRNA from 1 species
GACGUGCGCACACGCCACCGCCGGCCCGCGCGCACUCGGGCGGGAGCCUCGGCACGGACUGCGGGGCGCGUGGCGGCUGCGGGGCACGCGGGCCCGAGCGGGACUGGCCGGCUGCGAGUGGGCGGCCGCGGAGCUGGGGCCUGGGAGGGGACGGUCCUGCCGGGAGGAGGCGGAGGCAGGACAGGGUGGGGUUGCGGGCCCGGCGCCGCCCCUCCCGGCUCCUGGCUCCCCUCGCCUGGUGUCCCGCGCCUGGCCGGGAGGCGGCGGGUCUCGAUCGCGCGGGCCUCCCUGGAGGGGCGCGGGCUCUGGCGGCGGGGAGGCCCCUGCUCAGCGCAAUGGCGGGCUUGCAUCCUUGGGUGAUUUUUUCGGGCCCCUUGUGGCCUUUGCUCACGCCUAGAGAGCAAACCACCCGCACCACCCAGGAGCAGAUAAAAUCGAGACCACAGCCUCCAAGGGAGCGCGCCUCCAUCCUGUUUGCCCCUCGGGUCGCCGUCUGAGGGCGGGCCCGUGCCCGCUCAGAGCCUACAUCCGAGUCGUAUAAAGCGCUGACAGCAGAGAAAGCUGCGGCUUUGCUCCGUGCAGAUGAGCAGGGGCUGAGGGAGGACGCUGUGCUCUCAGUAGCCGCGCUUGGCCCGGGGACCCUGCAGGCUUAGAAACGUGAGUCACGCCUGCAGCGUGGCGAGGAAACGCCGUUGAUGUGGCAUCCUCAGCCUGGGGUUGUGGCUUUAAGCCAGAAGGUCAAAAAAAGAAGUCUUCCUGAGCUGAGACUGCCCUGAGUCGCUUUAGGGGCGAAAUUCCGAGCAUCCGGUUGCAUUUCCUGAGGAUGACACGCGUGGUGGGUGUGGACGGCCUACAGGGGUCCAUCCUCAGCGGCCCCUCUGCAGGGCAGUCUCGCUCUCACUCUCCCAGCUGACUCCUCUCAAGCCUGUUAACCAUUGUACACGUUCCCAAGGACUCCAAGCAGGUUGGACUUCAGGGAACAUUGCAGUUUGGGUCUUGGCCAUUGUUUACACUCCACCUUGCAUAAGUGCUUGAGGAUCACACAACCAGAUACGUAGAUCAUCCGUAGAUCAUCGCAGUCACAUCGAAGAUUUGUUUAUAAUAGGAAAAAAAAAAGCUACCCACUGUCAUGCGCUGGGAAACUAGUGAGCUGAAGGAUGACCCAUCUGUAAAUGGGGUGCUCCCUAAUGGACAGGGCACCUUUCAGAAGCCUGUGCUGUGUCUCCUCGACCCCACUGUGAGCUCCCCGUCCCGCACGCUGAUCUAAAUCAAGCUGCUAACCUCAUGGAGAGGCGUCCGCACGGGAGCCCCGGCCCUGAGAUGCGGGGCAGUCACCCAUUCAAUUAGGAAACACCAGCAAGUGCCAGAAGCUUCUCAUUAGCAGGGAGUGUGGGUGUGGCAGCAACCCAGCAUCUACCAUGCCGACCAUGUGCCAUGCCAUGCACCGCGUGUCGUAACAGGACAACAGAGCAAGAGACCCAGCAGACAGGGGUCCCCAGCAACCUCAUGAAGCGCCAUCCACUCACCUCCAGACAGUCUGGGGAGAGAGACUGAAACUUCUGUCUAAGCCACUUCAUCUUUGAUCUCCUUGUUUUUGUGGUUCAGGUUGUAUCUUAAUAAAUAAAACGUGUUUGAGUUCA